AUGCUUCCUUGGAAACAACAAGAUCAUAAUCUGGAGCAACAACUAACCCUCAGGUAUGAGCAUGUUCUCAAUCAACUUAAUAGCUUUUAUAAGCAAAGAAGCAAGAAGGGUUGGGCUACUGGUGGUGAUCGUAAUACUAAAUUUUUUCAUCAAGCUGUUCUCAAGAGGAGGAAGAGGAAUACCAUUUGCUCUAUUAAAGAUGAAAAUGAUGUUUUGCAUUUCAGACCUGAUCUCAUUGCUAACACUUUUGUUAACUAUUUCAGAUAUAUCUUUUCACCUUUUCUUGCUUCACAGUUUCCUGACGGCUCUUUGGAUCCCACUUAUCUAAUUCCAGAUAAAAGUGAAGUAUUGCAGAUCUUGAAGGAUAUGAAGUUGAAUGCUUCGCCAGGGCCGGAUGGCUUCAAUGUUGAGUUUUAUCUAGCUGUAUGGGAUUGGAUAGGAGAUGAGGUCACCCAGUUGGUGGUUAUAAAUCAGGUAUAUUGCCACCUCAUAUUAGUGACACUAACAUUGCUCUCAUUCCAAAAAAACUGGUUCCCCAGGUUCCUAUGGAUUAUCGUCCCAUUAGCCUUUCUAAUGUCAUAUACAAAAUCAUUGCCAAAUCCUUAG
rnacentral:rRNA from 1 species